rnacentral:lncRNA from 1 species
UUCACACUAAGAGCUAUACAAAAACUUAAAGAAGUAAAAUCAAACUAUGCAAAAAAAAAAAACAAGCAACCUUUGCAAGUCUAGUAUUUUAGAGAUAAUGUCAAAGGUAUAAAGUAUAAAGCACCAUGCAUCUGUACUUAAAAAAAAAAAAACCAAGCCACGCAACAACUCCAGAGGAGUUUAACUUGUAAAAGAUUUGGGCAGAAAGGAAGCAAUCAAGUAAAACACCAACUUCCCAGCUACCCAAAAAACAAAAGAAAUGAAACUUGGAAACUUAGUUAGAAACAAGGUAGGACUUAGUUUGCAUUAUAGAACUGAGGCUAAAGAAUUAUAACAUAAGCAAAAGAAUGAAAAUAAGUAUCAAAAGUGAAUACCAGGUCAAAA